GUGUCCUGAUAAAAGGAGAAUAGCACAGAGAUCCAACUAUGUGGAGAUGCAGGACAAGAUGGCCACCUACAAGCUAAGGGAGAAGACUCAGGAUCAUAAAAACACAUCUUGGUCUUAGACAUCCAGACUCCAAGAUGACAACCUUGAUUGAUUCUUCUGGGAACUUUGGUUACCACGGAAGCUUAAGGCAGGGGCAAUCCAGACGAAUCUUAAUGGCCCUGCUGCAAUAUUGUGUGAGGAACACAGGAAGCUGUCCACUCUUCCAAGAUUGUAGUGGUUGUCACUGAAACACAGCUGGUGCUCCUAGCUGCCAUUCAACUGCUUGCCACUCCUGUGCGUCUGAGUGGACCUAUGCCCUGCAAAGACAUGGCCUUGGAAGUCUACGGUUCAUGACAUCAGAUGUGGCACAAUGUUCAACUUAGAAUACUCUCCUAAUUGGACCAUUAACUACACAAUAAACACAUAAAUGAACUCAAAUAUGCUAUGGGUCCAAGACAUCUUUGGUCUGAUGAUGGAGAUGUAUUCUGCUCAGGCAUUUGAAGACUUGGUCCCCAGUUACUGGCACUGUUUGGAGAGGUAUGGACAAGUACAGCCUUGCUGGAUGACAGGAUGUCGCCGGGAAGAGGUUCUACUUCCAGUUUGCUCUCUGCUUCCUGUUGUCAUGACCUCACCCCCAAAUGAAGAACUCAUCCUCCUUGACCAACAACCCAAAAUAAUCUCCCUUCAUUAAGUUGUCUUAAAGCCUUGGUGCUUUAUCACAACAGAAAUGUAAUGUAGUGUAGGAAGGCUUGCAUUCUUCCUGAACUAAAAAACCCACCUUCUGCCAGCUGAGGACCCUGGAUUUUCAUUGAUUCAGGACCUUUAAUGGCAAAUGGAGAAUCCUGGGUCUCUGGCUUGCAGGCGGCCCACGGAUGGGUUUCUGAGAUUCUUUAACCUUAUGAACCAACUCUUUAUCUUCGGAGCAUCUCUUUAUCUGUUGUGAUAGCACUGUUCCUCUGGAAA